rnacentral:rRNA from 1 species
AACGAACGCUGGCGGCGUGCCUAACACAUGCAAGUCGAGCGGGAAAGUUCCUUCGGGAGCGAGUACAGCGGCGAACGGGUGAGUAACACGUAGGUAACCUACCUCGAGGUCUGGGAUAACCUGUCGAAAGGCGGGCUAAUACUGGAUAAGACCACGGGGGCUAUGGCCCCUGAGGUAAAAGAUGGCCUCUGCUUGCAAGCUAUCACCACGAGAUGGGCCUGCGCGCCAUUAGCUAGUUGGUGAGGUAACGGCUCACCAAGGCGAAGAUGGCUAGCUGGUCUGAGAGGAUGGCCAGCCACACUGGGACUGAGACACGGCCCAGACUCCUACGGGUGGCAG